UGCACCCUACGGGGCGCAGCAGUGGGGAAUAUUGCACAAUGGGGGAAACCCUGAUGCAGCAACGCCGCGUGAAGGAAGACGGUUUUCGGAUUGUAAACUUCUGUUCUUAGUGAAGAAGAAUGACGGUAGCUAAGGAGCAAGCCACGGCUAACUACGUGCCAGCAGCCGCGGUAAUGCGGAGGAUGCGAGCGUUAUCCGGAUUUAUUGGGUUUAAAGGGUGCGCAGGCGGAAUGUCAAGUCAGCGGUAAAAUUUCGGGGCUCAACCCCGUCGUGCCGUUGAAACUGGCGUUCUUGAGUGAGCGAGA
rnacentral:rRNA from 1 species